rnacentral:rRNA from 1 species
UACAGAGGUCUCAAGCGUUGUUCGGAUUCAUUGGGCGUAAAGGGUGCGUAGGUGGCGUCGUAAGUCAGGUGUGAAAUCUCGGAGCUUAACUCCGAAACUGCAUUCGAUACUGCCGUGCUUGAGGACUGGAGAGGAGACUGGAAUUUACGGUGUAGCGGUGAAAUGCGCAGAUAUCAGGAGGAACACCGGUGGCGAAGGCGGGUCUCUGGGCCGAUACUGACGCUGAGGAGCGAAAGCGUGGGGAGCGAACAGGA